rnacentral:rRNA from 1 species
CCUACGGGUGGCAGCAGGGAAUAUUGCACAAUGGGCGCAAGCCUGAUGCAGCCAUGCCGCGUGUGUGAAGAAGGCCUUCGGGUUGUAAAGCACUUUCAGCGGGGAGGAAGGCGGUGAGGUUAAUAACCUCAUCGAUUGACGUUACCCGCAGAAGAGGCACCGGCUAACUCCGUGCCAGCAGCCGCGGUAAUACGGAGGGUGCAAGCGUUAAUCGGAAUUACUGGGCGUAAAGCGCACGCAGGCGGUCUGUCAAGUCGGAUGUGAAAUCCCCGGGCUCAACCUGGGAACUGCAUUCGAAACUGGCAGGCUAGAGUCUUGUAGAGGGGGGUAGAAUUCCAGGUGUAGCGGUGAAAUGCGUAGAGAUCUGGAGGAAUACCGGUGGCGAAGGCGGCCCCCUGGACAAAGACUGACGCUCAGGUGCGAAAGCGUGGGGAGCAAACAGGAUUAGAUACCCUUGUAGUC